UACGGGGGGGGCAAGCGUUGUUCGGAAUUACUGGGCGUAAAGGGCUCGUAGGUGGCCAACUAAGUCAGACGUGAAAUCCCUCAGCUUAACUGGGGAACUGCGUCUGAUACUGGAUGGCUUGAGUUUGGGAGAGGGAUGCGGAAUUCCAGGUGUAGCGGUGAAAUGCGUAGAUAUCAGGAGGAACACCCGUGGCGAAAGCGGCUCUCUGGGACGGUACUGACGCUGAGACGCGAAAGCGUGGGGAGCAAACAGG
rnacentral:rRNA from 1 species